rnacentral:rRNA from 1 species
UGGGGAAUAUUGGACAAUGGGCGCAAGCCUGAUCCAGCCAUACCGCGUGGGUGAAGAAGGCCUUCGGGUUGUAAAGCCCUUUUGUUGGGAAAGGAAAUCCAGCUGGCUAAUACCCGGUUGGGAUGACGGUACCCAAAGAAUAAGCACCGGCUAACUUCGUGCCAGCAGCCGCGGUAAUACGAAGGGUGCAAGCGUUACUCGGAAUUACUGGGCGUAAAGCGUGCGUAGGUGGUCGUUUAAGUCCGUUGUGAAAGCCCUGGGCUCAACCUGGGAACUGCAGUGGAUACUGGGCGACUAGAGUGUGGUAGAGGGUAGCGGAAUUCCUGGUGUAGCAGUGAAAUGCGUAGAGAUCAGGAGGAACAUCCAUGGCGAAGGCAGCUACCUGGACCAACACUGACACUGAGGCACGAAAGCGUGGGGAGCAAACAGGAUUAGAUACCCUGGUAGUCCACGCCCUAAACGAUGCGAACUGGAUGUUGGGUGCAAUUUGGCACGCAGUAUCGAAGCUAACGCGUUAAGUUCGCCGCCUGGGAGUACGGUCGC